ACUGGUCUGAGAGGAUGAUCAGUCACACUGGAACUGAGACACGGUCCAGACUCCUACGGGAGGCAGCAGUGGGGAAUAUUGGACAAUGGGCGAAAGCCUGAUCCAGCCAUGCCGCGUGUGUGAAGAAGGCCCUCGGGUCGUAAAGCACUUUAAGCUGGGAGGAAGGGUUGUAACCUAAUACGUUGCAGCUUUGACGUUACCAGCAGAAUAAGCACCGGCUAACUCUGUGCCAGCAGCCGCGGUAAUACAGAGGGUGCAAGCGUUAAUCGGAAUUACUGGGCGUAAAGCGCGCGUAGGUGGCUUGGUAAGUUGAAUGUGAAAUCCCCGGGCUCAACCUGGGAACUGCAUCCAAAACUGCCUGGCUAGAGUACGGUAGAGGGUGGUGGAAUUUCCUGUGUAGCGGUGAAAUGCGUAGAUAUAGGGAGGACACCAGUGGCGAAGGCGACCACCUGGACUGAUACUGACACUGAGGUGCGAAAGCGUGGGGAGCAAACAGGAUUAG
rnacentral:rRNA from 1 species